UACGGAGGGGGCUAGCGUUGUUCGGAAUUACUGGGCGUAAAGCGCGCGUAGGCGGACCUGCAAGUCGGGGGUGAAAGCCCGAGGCUCAACCUCGGAACUGCCUUCGAUACUGCGGGUCUCGAGUCCGGGAGAGGUGAGUGGAAUUCCUAGUGUAGAGGUGAAAUUCGUAGAUAUUAGGAAGAACACCAGUGGCGAAGGCGGCUCACUGGCCCGGUACUGACGCUGAGGCACGAAAGCGUGAGGAGCAAACAGG
rnacentral:rRNA from 1 species